GAUGAACGCUGGCGGCGUGCCUAAUACAUGCAAGUCGAGCGAACAGACGAGGAGCUUGCUUCUCUGACGUUAGCGGCGGACGGGUGAGUAACACGUGGAUAACCUACCUAUAAGACUGGGAUAACUUCGGGAAAACGGAGCUAAUACCGGCUUAUAUAUUGAACCGCAUGGAUCAAUACUGAAAGACGGUUUUGCUGUCACUUAUCCAUGGUUCCGCGCCGGAUUAGCUAGUUGGUAAGGUAACGGCUUACCAAGGCAACGAUGCGUAGCCGACCUGAGAGGGUGACCAGCCACACUGGAACUGAGACACGGUCCAGACUCCUACGGGAGGCAGCAGUAGGGAAUCUUCCGCAAUGGGCGAAAGCCUGACGGAGCAACGCCGCGUGAAUGAUGAAGGUCUUCGGAUCGUAAAACUCUGUUAGUAGGGAAGAACAAAUGUGUAAGUAACUAUGCACGUCUUGACGGUACCUAAUCAGGAAGCCACGGCUAACUACGUG
rnacentral:rRNA from 1 species